CUACGAUCGGUACGGGCAGUGAGAGCUGGAGCCCGGAGAUGGGGACUGAGACAAGGCCCCAGGCCCUACGGGGCGCAGCAGGUGCGAGAACUCCACAAUGCUCGAAAGAGUGAUGGGGGAACCCCAAGUGCCCUUGUAUUGCAAGGGCUUUUCCCUGGUGUAAGGAGCCAGGGGAAUAAGGGCUGGGUAAGACUGGUGCCAGCCGCCGCGGUAACACCAGCAGCUUAAGUGGUCGCCGUUUUUAUUGGGCCUAAAGCGUUCGUAGCCGGGUGGAUAAGUCUCUAGGUAAAUCUUGCGUCCAAGCGUAAGGCUUCUGGAGAUACUGUCUAUCUUGAGGCCGGGAGAGGUUGGAGGUACUCCCGGGGUAGGGGUAAAAUCCUGUAAUCCUGGGGGGACCACCGGUGGCGAAGGCGUCCAACUGGAACGGGCCUGACGGUGAGGGACGAAACCCAGGGGAGCGAGCCGGAUUAGAUACCCGGGUAGUCCUGGGCGUAAAUGAUGCGGACUAAGUGUGGGGGUAUCCACGAGAUACCUCUGUGCCCGAAGGAAGCCAGUAAGUCCGCGCCUGGGGGAGUACGGCCGCAAGGCUGAAACUUAAAGGAAUUGGCGGGGGAGCACCACAAGGGGUGGAGGCUGCGGUUUAAUUGGAUUCAACGCCGGAAAACUCACCGGGGGCGACGGCAGAAUGACGGCCAAGCUGAUGACUUUGCUUGACGAGCCGAGAGGAGGUGCAUGGCCGCCGUCAGUUCGUACCGUGAGGUGUCCUCUUAGGUGAGGUAACGAACGAGACCCCCGCCCUCAGUUACCAGCAAAUUCCUAUGGAAUGAUGGGGACUCUGAGGGGACCGCUGCUGCUAAAGCAGAGGAAGGAGGGGGCAACGGUAGGUCAGUAUGCCCCGAAUCCCCCGGGCUACACGCGGCCUACAAUGGUUACGACAAUGGGUUCCAACACCGAAAGGUGAAGGUAAUCCCCUAAACGUAAUCUCAGUCCGGAUUGUGGGCUGUAACUCGCCCUCAUGAAGCUGGAAUCCCUAGUAAUCGCGUGUCACUAUCGCGCGGUGAUACGUCCCUGCUCCUUGCACACACCGCCCGUCA
rnacentral:rRNA from 1 species